rnacentral:rRNA from 1 species
CAGUCGCCGCGGUAAUACAGAGGGUGCGAGCGUUAAUCGGAUUUACUGGGCGUAAAGCGUGCGUAGGCGGCUUCUUAAGUCGGAUGUGAAAUCCCUGAGCUUAACUUAGGAAUUGCAUUCGAUACUGGGAAGCUAGAGUAUGGGAGAUGAUGGUAGAAUUCCAGGUGUAGCGGUGAAAUGCGUAGAGAUCUGGAGGAAUACCGAUGGCGAAGGCAGCCAUCUGGCCUAAUACUGACGCUGAGGUACGAAAGCAUGGGGAGCAAACAGGAUUAGAUACCCCCGUAGUCCCUGUCUCUUAUAC